GAACUACACGGUUACAAAUAUGGUACUUACACUUGUUAUACAAGUCGUUUUAAAACACUGGAACAAAUUCCAAACGUGUCCCAAUUAGUCUUUAAUUACACUAUAUAGCGUGUAUAAGCCGCCGUUAGAAGUCAAUAGAAGCGCGAGAUUUGCGUGUUCCAUCAGCUUUGGGCUGCAUUACAACACAAAAGGAUGAGACCUGAGGUGCAGACUGCAGGUCCGAGCUCUUGUUUUGUAUCAAAAGCUCCAUGCGCAUACCAGCAUCAGCAGGGGGAGAAGACUAGAACCUGCUUAUCCACAGCUUGAUUUAUCCUUACUGAAACAACAACAACCUGUUAGUUGUCAGUAGUUUGACAAACUGAACGAAUGCACACAAUAUUUAUUAAUUUAAUACAAAGAAAAAUCAUGAAGUGAAAGAGGAGAGAGCGGUUUGUUUAUUGUUUAUAAUCAUGUUCAAGUCUGAUAAAAAAUAAAAAAUGAUUCUUGUAAAAUUUCUUU